UUUUAAAUUUUCAAAUCUUUCAGUGUCUUCUUUCUACCCUCUCCUGUCACUUUACCAAACUUUUAUUUUUUUAAGGAAAUUUUUCCCCACUUGCGUAUUCGAAAGCAACAUCUUCAACUUCUACACCAUCUUCAACCUCAUAGAUGCUCUUACGCUCUCAUUCGGCAUUCUCAAAUGGUUUUUGUCAAGGUUAGACUCAUGGUUGGAUUCACAUGACUGACCGCAAUCGGAAUCGGUUGGCUUCUCAGGGAAGAACGUGAAGGUGACUCGAAGCUGAUGCUGAUAGCAAGAGCAAGGUUAAUCGAAAAAUCGACGGAAGAGGAGACAGAGUAUCAUUUGUUUCAAGUUGGCUAAUCCAGAGUCUCCCUUACAUCGAUUUGUUUUUAGGUGUGCGAUUUCACUUAUUCAUGCUUCACAAUGUUUUGUUGAAAUGUUCUUCUGCUAGAUAGAUAAAAUCUACCUUUUUAUUUGUUUGAACUAGAUGAAUAUUUUUACAUUAGUUUAUUACAGUGAAUUUAUGUUAAUGUUUUUAUUUCAUAAACUUUUAUGAGAUGAUCGAAUAUGUGAAAUUUAUAAUUGUUGCGUGAGUGUAAUAAUUUUGGGCACACGAUUUUGUCUGAGGAUUCACGUGAGCAAUUGAGCUUUUGAGUUUCAAAUAAUUGUGUCUUUGACCUAUGAUCCUUAUUGAAUGAAUCCGAAAGACAUUCGUAAGUUAUAAGCUUGGUUGCUUUUUUAGCUCGUGUACUUGAGUCUAUGUGCAGUUUUAGUCCUCUUAGUUUUGGUUUUCUUGCAUUUAGUCAUCAUAUUUUCCUAAUUGUUCAAAGUGAUUCCCCCGCCCCAAAUUUCAUCCAUUAAUUAACAGAAUUUGUACAUAGAUGGUCAUCUAUCAUUGCUAUGUUUAGAUUUUAGUCCUCUUGGUUUUAGAGUCUUGCAUUUAGUAAUCAUAUUUUCCUAAUUGUUUAAAUUAAUUCCCCCACCUCAAAUUUCAUCCAUUAAGUAACAAAUUUUUUGCAGAGGUGUAAUCUCUCAUUGAUAUGUAUAGAUCCACAACCGAAAAAAUAUAAAAUAAUUAAAUAAAAUAUAUUUAUUUUAUUUGAUACAUUCUUUAUUAUUUAUAUAUUUUAUAAUUUUUUCUUUGCUAAUUUAUACAAAAUAAUUAUAUGCCACCCCAUUAUUUAAUUUUUAUUAAUCAUUGGAUAACUUUUUUAGCUGAGUUGCUUUGAACAAUUAAGAAACUGAUAAUGGGGAGAGAAAAAAAAGCCCAGAGUAUAAAAUAAUACUACUAUAUCACUUGGGUUAAUGAUACCAUGUAAAACACCAAUCAAUAGUAUCCCAAAUAACCAUUCAACUUUUAAUUAUAAUUACUAGUGCUCUUGAACCCUUCUACUGCUUGUAAAUAGAUACGUUGAGUACCUAAAGUUCUAAAGAUUAUGCCAUGCUCCAAGUUCCUCCACAAAUUUGAGCAAUUACUCUUACUCAUUUUUCUUGUGCAUUACAUGAUUUGCUACGAUAACUAAUUUCUCCAAGUAUCUUUGUGCAAUGAGUGUUGAUAAUUUAUUAUCUUAUCACAACUUUAUUCUUUUGAAACCUUAAUGUGAAGGGUAAAUACAAAGUAUACGAUCUUUGUUUAUAAAGUUUAUAUGAUGGAUCAUUAUUUCAAGGAAAGGUGUGAUUUUCAUCUUUAUCUUCACUUUAACUUUAGUAAUCAAAUUGAUGUACUGGUAUUGAUGUGUAAUAAUUUUGACUGUUACUUAUCAUUAUUUAUCUCUCUAGUGUGGUGCACCUGCUCUUUAAGUGCAUUUGUUCUUUAUGUUCUACUUAAGGUUGAAAAUUUAAGCCAACUUGUCAAGAGCUUCUGAUUGUUAAUGUAACUAUCUAGAGUUUGAUAUUUUUACUUGUUUUAAAUGUCUGAUCGUAGGAGAAAGAAAAAUAUUUGUAACAAUAAAAACGAAUUGGAUUGCAUAAUGUUUAUGAAGCCUUUUCAUAGGUGCUUCACAAACUACAUGUUAGGUGCCAAAAGUUUGAACUCACACAAGAAAGGAAAUUACAAAGUCAUUUCUAGAGUGGUAUAAAUAUAAGCUUGAAUAAGGAUAUUUUUUCUAUUAGAGAAGGAAGAGUAAAUGUUUCUUCCAAAAAUUAGGGCUCAACUGCAAUUGGAUUGAAGUGGAUGCUUAAUCAGGUAAAAAGUGCUCACUAUUUAGUCAUGUUCUUGAGUAUUGUUUUUUUUUAUCGGCAUUCUAGAGUGUAGUGAAUCUGGUUUGUUUCAUAAACAUAUUAAACAUUUGUGUUUGUGUUUCAGGAAACGUUAUUUCUUUUGUAGGAUUAAUACCUUCAUAGAAACAUUAAUGCAAGCACAAAUGAAAGCACAAGCAGAAAUGCAAGCAAUUAUGCAACAACAGAUGCAAUAGCAAAUGCAAUCUUUAUUGUCUGCUUUAAAGAAACAAGAAUGAAGACAUGUCUCAAAGAAUCCAAAACUUUGUGUUUUAAUUGUGUUGAUGCAUUACUUUUUUUUUUAUACCCUUUGAUGCUUUUGUGUCCUAAAACUAUUAUACAUUGGUGGAAACUUUUAUGUUGUUUUGUAUUGUUUGAUGGAUAUACUUUGAUCAUUGUAGGAUUGAUUAUCUAUCCUUUUUAAACAUGUAUUGAAAAUAUUGGAGGUAUUUAGACAUUUUUUGUGAA